ACCAUCCUUCUCUUGGGGUUGAGCUGCUGUUUAAUGAACGUGUAGUGAGAACAGCACUGCUGACGCCAUUAACAACACGAACGCAUCACUAGUGUGAGAACAUUAGUUAGGUGCAAUUUUUGGAAAC